rnacentral:rRNA from 1 species
AGAAUCAACGCUGGCGGCGUGCCUAACACAUGCAAGUCGCACGAGAAAGUGGAGCAAUCCAUGAGUAAAGUGGCGACCGGGUGAGUAACACGUGACUAACCUACCUUCGAGUGGGGGAUAAACCUCGGGAAACCGAGGCUAAUACCGCAUAACAUCGUGAGAUCAAAGCAGUAAUGCGCUGGAAGAGGGGGUCGCGGCUGAUUAGCUAGUUGGCGGGGUAAUGGCCCACCAAGGCGAAGAUCGGUA